rnacentral:rRNA from 1 species
AACGAACGCUGGCGGCAUGCCUAACACAUGCAAGUCGAACGACACCUUCGGCUUUGGCGUCGCACGGGUGCGUAAAGCGUUGGAACCUGCCCCUAGACUCGGCAUAACUCCCCGAAAGGGCUGCUAAAACCGGAUAAUGUCCUCCAACCAAAGAUUUAUCGCCUUUGGAUGGGCCCGCGUUGGAUUGGCUAGUUGGUAGGGUAACAGCCUACCAAGGCGACGAUCCAUAGCUGGUCUGAGAGGAUGAGCAGCCACACUGGGACUGAGACACGGCCCAGACUCCUACGGGAGGCAGCAGUGGGGAAUAUUGGAAAACGGGCGAAAGCCUGAUCCAGCAAUGCCGCGUGAGUGAUGAAGGCCUUAGGGUUGUAAAGCUCGUUUACCCGGGAUGAUAAUGACAGUACCGGGAGAAUAAGCUCCGGCUAACUCCGUG